AGAUGGAAAGGGGGUGUGAGCCCGUUAGUAAAUUUACAGCUUACCGCCUAUUCUCGGCCACCUAACC
rnacentral:tRNA from 1 species